rnacentral:tRNA from 1 species
GCGCUGAUAGCUCAGCUGGAUAGAGUGUCUGACUACGAAUCAGAAGGUCGGGGGUUCGAGUCCCUUUCAGCGCGCCA